CUCCCCGUUGCUGACCCCAGGUUCGAUAGCGCCAAAUUAGGCGCCACCUCGCCAAGAACCAGCUUCGGUGAAGCGACGGGCGGUGUGUGCAAGGAG
rnacentral:rRNA from 1 species